rnacentral:tmRNA from 3 species
GGGGAUGCAGGGCUUCGAUAGUAAGUUUACCUGCUGGCAUUCGGGGCGCGCAUUCAGGUAACGCGUAAAAUUUCCUGAAACCAAUAAGUGCAAAAAAUGUACUAGCUAAGACUCGGCUCGCUUUCAGCAUGCCGGUCUUUGCUCCCGUCGCCGCCUAACGGCCGCGACCAUCGGUCCGGAGACGCCUAAUAACCGUCAACCGGUGUCAUAUCAAUUAGGCUAGCUCCUUAGGUCGUUUUCGCCUUUGAAGUGAAACUCAAGAAAACUAGUCCGCCGCGAUUUUGUCCGGUUUUGACAAGGCGGGCGAAUCCCUAAACCGGACUACCUUCGUAAAAUUGCCGACAGAUGCUUAUUACACGCGGGUUCAACUCCCGCCAUCUCCACUU